AUGAGUGGAAUUGAAGAGAGCAGAUCUGAGGUUCUCUAUUGGACUUUUGUCGGCGUUGCCCCGUCUCCUCAAAUACGGCCGUCUCUUCCAUUGGAUCUUGCCACCAUGGUGGUGGAAGGGAUUUCGGCGAUGUGCCUUUUCUUUCUUCGUGUUUUUCUCUCUUUAGGUACAACAAACACCUACUUUCUCCACCUAUGCUCAAUGGUUUUGGUCCUCAUCAUCCUUCUCUCUGUCGAGUUUCCUGAUUUGGUGCUUCAUCUUCUUAUUCCUAUUGGUCUGAGUGGACAGUUCGUAGGUGUUGCAUACAUUUAUCUAUCUUUCUUGGCAACGUCUCCUUCUUCCUUUGGUGAAGUUCUCUCUUAUUUUCUGCAUCAAAGGGAGGCCUUCUUCUAUCGAAGUUGA
rnacentral:rRNA from 1 species